UUCCAGCCCUGAUGGGAGCGGCAUCCUGUCAUUGCUAACGGGCGCGGCAAUCUCUUUUUAGAUUGCUUCCUUCGCAAUGACAGAUACAGCGGACAGCAGGAACCGAC
rnacentral:sRNA from 1 species